AAGUCGUAACAAGGUUCCGGUAGGUGAACCUGCGGAAAGAUCAUUAACACGUAUCCAAACGUUAAAACCCCCCCCCGUGAACAUUGAUUUCUGCUCUUGCAACCCGCGAAGCUUGCAAUCUCAGUUUUGAUUCAGAGACCUCUGGCCCGUGCGAAAAUUGGAACAGUUACAAUUCGAGCGGUAGUUCUAUAGGCCUUGUUUCCCCAAGCAGUCAGUGUCUGAAAGUGUCAGUGAUUGUGCAAGGAUAACGCUUCACGAUUCUUGUAGACCGCAUCUCGCGGGCAGGAGCUAGGCCAAAGGGUCCCCAUGCCCCCUUACAACCCCACAGUUAAAUGUGAAGCUCAAUGUAAUACAUUGGGUAAAAAACCGAACAACUGUUAACAAUGGAUAUCUUGGUUCUC
rnacentral:misc_RNA from 1 species